rnacentral:rRNA from 1 species
UACGGGGGGAGCAAGCGUUGUUCGGAUUUACUGGGCGUAAAGGGCGCGUAGGCGGCACCGCAAGUCGACUGUGAAAUCUCCGGGCUUAACUCGGAAAGGUCAGCCGAUACUGCGGGGCUAGAGUGCAGAAGGGGCAACUGGAAUUCUCGGUGUAGCGGUGAAAUGCGUAGAUAUCGAGAGGAACACCUGCGGCGAAGGCGGGUUGCUGGGCUGACACUGACGCUGAUGUGCGAAAGCCAGGGGAGCGAACGGG